rnacentral:rRNA from 1 species
UACGUAGGGUGCGAGCGUUGUCCGGAUUUAUUGGGCGUAAAGGGCUCGUAGGCGGUCUGUCGCGUCUGCUGUGAAAACUCAGGGCUUAACCCUGAGCUUGCAGUGGGUACGGGCAGACUAGAGUGCGGUAGGGGAGACUGGAAUUCCUGGUGUAGCGGUGAAAUGCGCAGAUAUCAGGAGGAACACCGGUGGCGAAGGCGGUUCUCUGGGCCUGUACUGACGCUGAGGAGCGAAAGCGUGGGGAGCGAACAGG